GACAGAGGGGGCAAGCGUUGCUCGGAAUUACUGGGCGUAAAGGGCGCGUAGGCGGGAUGGCAAGUCGGUCGUGAAAUCCUUCGGCUCAACCGAAGAACGUCGAUCGAUACUGCUGUUCUUGAGGGUUGCAGAGGAGACUGGAAUUCCCGGUGUAGCGGUGAAAUGCGUAGAUAUCAGGAGGAACACCGGUGGUGUAGACGGCUCUCUGGACCGUAACUGACGCUGAGACACGAAAGCGUGGGUAGCAAACAGG
rnacentral:rRNA from 1 species